GUGGCGACCGGCGCACGGGUGCGUAACGCGUAUGCAAUCUACCUUUAUCAGAGGGAUAGCCCGAAGAAAUUCGGAUUAAUACCUCAUAAUAUAAUUGAAUAGCAUUAUUUGAUUAUUAAAGCUCCGGCGGAUAAAGAUGAGCAUGCGUGACAUUAGCUAGUUGGUGAGGUAACGGCUCACCAAGGCUACGAUGUCUAGGGGAUCUGAGAGGACUACCCCCCACACUGGUACUGAGACACGGACCAGACUCC
rnacentral:rRNA from 1 species